rnacentral:rRNA from 1 species
GACGAACGCUGGCGGCGUGCUUAACACAUGCAAGUCGAACGAUGAAGCCUAGCUUGCUAGGUGGAUUAGUGGCGAACGGGUGAGUAAUACGUGAGUGACCUACCUUUGACUCUGGGAUAAGCCUGGGAAACUGGGUCUAAUACCGGAUACGACCAAUCUCCGCAUGGGGUGUUGGUGGAAAGCGUUAUGGAGUGGUUUUAGAUGGGCUCACGGCCUAUCAGCUUGUUGGUGAGGUAAUGGCUUACCAAGGCGACGACGGGUAGCCGGCCUGAGAGGGUGACCGGCCACACUGGGACUGAGACACGGCCCAGACUCCUACGGGAGGCAGCAGUGGGGAAUAUUGCACAAUGGGCGCAAGCCUGAUGCAGCGACGCCGCGUGAGGGAUGACGGCCUUCGGGUUGUAAACCUCUGUUAGCAUCGAAGAAGCGAAAGUGACGGUAAGGUGCAGAGAAA